ACACUCAUGUUUCUCUUCAGAUCGUAUAAAUCUUUCGCCUUUUACUAAAGAUUUCCGUGGGGAGGAACGCAAUGAGUAUAAACUAAUUUUUUGAUGCCCUGCUUUAUUGCGGGGCU
rnacentral:snRNA from 12 species